rnacentral:rRNA from 1 species
CAGCCGCCGCGGUAAUACGUAGGGGGCGAGCGUUGUCCGGACUUACUGGGCGUAAAGGGCGUGUAGGCGGCCUGUUAAGUCAGGGGUGAAAGACCGGGGCUCAACCCCGGGGGUGCCUCUGAAACUGGCGGGCUUGAGUGCUCUAGAGGGCAGUGGAAUUCCCGGUGUAGCAGUGAAAUGCGUAGAGAUCGGGAGGAACACCAGUGGCGAAGGCGGCUGCCUGGGGAGUCACUGACGCUGAGGCGCGAAAGCUAGGGGAGCAAACAGGAUUAGAUACCCUGGUAGUCCUAGCCGUAAACGAUGAGCGCUAUGUGUGAGGGGUAUCGACCCCCCUCGUGCAGUAGCUAACGCAUUAAGAGCUCCGCCUGGGGAGUACGGCCGCAAGGUUGAAACUUAAAGGAAUUGGCGGG